GUAAAUUAAUAGUGAUAGUGACUAUUAGUGAGUGAUAAUAUUGUUUGUUAGUAGAACAAGUACAAUUUCGUGCAAUCAAAAAGGAAUGUGACGUGUUUAAAUACACGAAACGAAACAACACGGUGAGUUAAAGACCAUUUCAUUUCAAGGAAUUUUAUUUACUGCCUAAAAUACACUGAAAAAUUUGUUUUUAUGAAAUUCAUGUGGAUUUUAAUACUUCUUCCCCCACCCUUAAAAAAAAAUAAAUUUUAGAAAAAAAUAAAAUUGAAAAAUAAAUACAGUAGAGAAAUAAUCAUUCAUCAUUUCUCUAGAAAAACGCAGAACAAUCGCAGCAUACGAAUAAAUCUGAUAAAUCAAAAUGCAUU